ACAGUUGGAAACGACUGCUAAUACCGCAUAAGCGCACAGGAUCGCAUGAUCCGGUGUGAAAAACUCCGGUGGUAUGAGAUGGACCCGCGUCUGAUUAGCCAGUUGGCAGGGCAACGGCCUACCAAAGCGACGAUCAGUAGCCGACCUGAGAGGGUGACCGGCCACAUUGGGACUGAGACACGGCCCAAACUCCUACGGGAGGCAGCAGUGGGGAAUAUUGCACAAUGGGGGAAACCCUGAUGCAGCGACGCCGCGUGAGCGAAGAAGUAUUUCGGUAUGUAAAGCUCUAUCAGCAGGGAAGAAGAAUGACGGUACCUGAUUAUUAAGCACCGGCUAAAUACGUGCCAGCAGCCGCGGUAAUACGUAUGGUGCAAGCGUUAUCCGGAUUUACUGGGUGUAAAGGGAGCGCAGGCGGUGCGGCAAGUCUGAUGUGAAAAUCCGGGGCUCAACUCCGGAACUGCAUUGGAAACUGUCAGACUAGAGUGUCGGAGAGGUAAGUGGAAUUCCUAGUGUAGCGGUGAAAUGCGUAGAUAUUAGGAGGAACACCAGUGGCGAAGGCGGCUUACUGGACGAUAACUGACGCUGAGGCUCGAAAGCGUGGGGAGCAAACAGGAUUAGAUACCCUGG
rnacentral:rRNA from 1 species